UUGCUGCUUUGCUGACGAGUGGCGGACGGGUGAGUAAUGUCUGGGAAACUGCCCGAUGGAGGGGGAUAACUACUGGAAACGGUAGCUAAUACCGCAUAACGUCGCAAGACCAAAGAGGGGGGACCUUAGGGCCUCUUGCCAUCGGAUGUGCCCAGAUGGGAUUAGCUAGUAGGUGGGGUAACGGCUCACCUAGGCGACGAUCCCUAGCUGGUCUGAGAGGAUGACCAGCCACACUGGAACUGAG
rnacentral:rRNA from 1 species